rnacentral:rRNA from 1 species
UACGAAGGGGGCUAGCGUUGCUCGGAAUCACUGGGCGUAAGGGGUGCGUAGGCGGGUCUUUAAGUCAGGGGUGAAAUCCUGGAGCUCAACUCCAGAACUGCCUUUGAUACUGGGAGGCUCGAGUCCGGGAGAGGUGAGUGGAACUGCGAGUGUAGAGGUGAAAUUCGUAGAUAUUCGCAAGAACACCAGUGGCGAAGGCGGCUCACUGGCCCGGUACUGACGCUGAGGUGCGAAAGCGUGGGGAGCAAACAGG